rnacentral:rRNA from 1 species
CAGCCGCCACGGGAAUACGAGGGGGGCAAGCGUUGUUCGGAAUUAUUGGGCGUAAAGGGUGCGUAGGCGGUUUGGCAAGUUUGGUGUGAAAUCUUCGGGCUCAACUCGAAGUCUGCAUCGAAAACUGCCGGGCUUGAGUAUGGGAGAGGUGAGUGGAAUUUCCGGUGUAGCGGUGAAAUGCGUAGAUAUCGGAAGGAACACCUGUGGCGAAAGCGGCUCACUGGACCAUAACUGACGCUGAUGCACGAAAGCUAGGGGAGCAAACAGGAUUAGAUACCCCCGUAGUCCCUGUCUCUUAUAC